UGCUGUCUCCAGGCUUCAGAGGUCGCCAGAAUUAAAGUACUGAAAUUAAUUUGGAAAGUGAAAAGCAUCAGCCUCCCCUAAUCUCGCCCCAUUUAGCCAGUCUGGGCUGUGCCGGUAGGAGGAGGGAGGAGGACCUGGAUAGAAAAAAGAAAAAAAACAUUGCAAUGCUAACACCUCGCCACCUGCUACCGGAGGAAGAGCUGGAGUCCUUAAGCAUGGCGGGGAAGCCCAAGCUUCACUACUUCAAUGGCCGAGGCAGAAUGAAGUCCAUCCGGUGGCUCUUGGCUGCAGCAGGGGUAGAGUUUGAAGAAGAACUUUUUGAAACACGUGAAGAAUUUGAGAAAUUAAUCCAAGGAUUGACAUGUAUGUAGAGGCCUUGAAGGAUCUGAGUGACAUGAUUAUGUUUUUUCCACUCUCUCUGCCUGGAGAGAAGGCGAUGAAUCUUGAAUACAUCCUUGAAAGAGCCACUACAAGAUUCUUCCCUGUCUAUGAGAAGGCACUAAGAGACCACGGGCAAGAUUUUCUUGUGGGCAACCAGCUGAGCUGGGCUGAUAUACAGCUCCUUGAAGUCAUCUUAAUGGCUGAAGAGUGCAAACCCAGUGUCCUCACAGGAUUCCCUCUGCUACAGGCAAUGCUCUCCAAAUAACUCCCAAGAACUGCAGGAAGAAUGAAUUUUUAUCAUUUGCUUAUUCUUUCAUUCAGUCAUUCUCAUUCUUAUUCUCAUUCUUAUUAGCAUUUAAGAACCUACUAACUUCUUUGUGCCAAGCUACAAAGAUACCCUCAAAGAACACAUCUAGUGGGUGAGACAAGCACAUAGACAGAUAACCUCAAUAUAAGGUAGUAAAUUUAAAAACAAAGUAAGAUACAGGAAAGUAGAGGAAGGUCAUGUGGGCCAGCAUGGGGAUCUGGGGCAGACUUCUGGCAGGACUCAAGUCUCAAAGGUUUUGCCUAGAAUGUAGCAGAACCUCAAUAAAAUGGCUUUCUUUCUCUAGAUAAGGUGGCGGGAAAACAUUUAAGAUAUUCUCGUCCUAACACGGCAAUUGUUUAACAAUAACCAGAGCCACUGACUAUACUCUUGUGUGCUAAGCAUUGUACCAAGCACUGAAAGCACAUUACUUCAUUGAUUUUAUUUCAUCCUCAAAUGGGUAGGAAACGACUCCAAGAGGUCAAAGAACUUUCUUUCAAGUCACGCUGUCAGUAGGUGACAGGACUGGUGCACAAACCCUCAGUCUGACUGAUUCCAUGGCCUGUGUUCUAAGACACUUUGCUAUGUUGGUGGAUUCCUUUCUAGCCUUUUAAAUAUAUGCGUAUUGAAAAUAGUUGUAUUCCAAGUUAUGGUGAUUCUGCAGUCUCCAUUUCCCACUUCACAUUACAUUAUACGCAUAUUUUGGUACUUUUAUUUAGUUUGCCUCAUUUUUAUACAAUAUGGUA